CGCCACUUCAUCAUGCUAUGAGUGAGACACCAAAUGCCAAUCACCAUUCCAUUGAUGAAGCAAGUUCCUCAACAACACCACCUCCUCCUCCUCCUUCCUCAGGGAAAGCAAGCACCUCGGUCUCAAUAGCCAUGAAAGUGUUAUUGUACAUGAACCUUCACCAUCAGCUCCUCCAUUGACAGAUGAUGAUGAUGUACAAACCUUAGCGGAUGGUCCAGUUCAUUACCCAACAAUCGAUUCAACACCUGUAGAUGUCUCAUCUUCGUCUCCUCUACCACCUUCAGCAGAGGGUGAAAAGAAAGAAGACGGGAGCGCUGGACAGUGUUCUGUAUGUCUCGACGCUCUAUCGGAUGCGGUUUGUGUCCCGUGCGGACAUGUAGCGGGAUGCACGUCGUGCUUGACUGAGAUCAAAUCCAAGAACUUGGGAUGUCCGGUCUGUCGGGCCAAGAUCGAUCAGAUCGUUAAAGUGUACCGUGUCUGAAAUAGAUACAACUCACAUGGGAUGAUCUCUCUCAUUCAUUGUGUUGUGAGAUUAAAGCUUUCUCAACCAUUGCAACUAUCUUUCUCUAUUACUCAACCAAGAUCAAGAACCAUGUUUCUCUGUGAUUGUUAAACAAUACUUUUAUACAUUGAAUUUUAAAACAGUACAUAUGGUUUUGGAUGAAAGAAGAAUGUAAAAAAGUAUGCGUACCAUAUUCUAUUGUAGUUUACAAUUGAUUGUAUCAAUCAAAUAUAUCUAUCUAUAUCUAUCACAUAUGUAUUAAUUCUGGAGCAUUGGUUACAUGAUAACCUUGAAAUUCAAGCAUGUUUCUCAAGUUAAGAGGGCUCCUCAGACUUUUUUUUAAAUUGGACCGACUUUACUAGGAUUAUUUAAAAGAGUGACAUUAAAGACCACUUAAUAAUUUAAUAUAUUUCAUCAACUUUGAAUAUGGAAAUAUAUAUAUAUAUAAAGUUAACUUUUACAUCUUCUUUUUGUAACAUGUGUCCACCUCUAAAAUUUACAUUUUUUGCUUGUUUGAACUCAAAUCCCCUAUAUAUUAAUUGAGAAUCAUUUAAAAAAUUGUAACAUUAAGUUUGUAUUAAUUAAAAAGAAACUUUGCUUAGGUCUCACUUUAUUAUGAUGACAAUUUAACUUACGUGGCAGCUUAAGAAUCAAUUGAAAAAAUAUAUUGGUCCAAAUCCAAUUACUAGGAAACAUUAUAUUAAACCAAAAUAUAAGAAGCAUUUAUUAUUUCCUUAAAUAAAAGCUACAAAAUUACUUAAUAUGAUUAACAUAUAUAUGACAAUUAAUGAUUAUUGAUAAUAAGAUUUGAUAACAAUUUUCGCAUCCUUCUUCAUUUUUGUUUAAUUUUAUAUUAUUAAAAAAUUAAACAAUAACAUUAACCAUAUAAUACAAAAUUAUAUUUUUUUUAUAUGUUAUAUGCUGAAUUUUUUAAAAUGACUUUAAAUUACAAAAAUGAGAAAACUUUAUAUUUUAUAUUUUAAAUUUUUUUAAACAACAUUAAAUUACAAAAAUGAGGAAACUUUAUAUGUUAUAUUUUUUUUAUAUGUUGGAUUUUUUCUUAUAUGUUAUAUUUAAAAAAAUUUAAAUUGACUUUAAAUUACAAAAAUGUAAGUUUUCCUUAAGCAUUCGACUAAAAGCAUUAAAAUGACAUGUAGCAAUUCGAUGGUUGAUCUGAAACCUUUCAAAACCAUAUGAAAAAUAAAGGUCAAAAUAAUUCAAUUGUGGAAACAGUACUGUUCACUGUUUUCAAGAAUGUAUUCAGUGGAAAAAAAUAAGGUUUUUGUUAUAAUUUGUUUAAUGUCCAAUCCGAUCAACCCAUGAUAUAUUAAUUAUAGUUUAGUUCCAUAAUUUUUAAUAAAAAUUGAACUGGUCCAUCGGAAAGAAAUUAUAAAAUAACAACAAAAAACAUUGUAUAUGUAUAAAUAAAAUGAUCAAAUAUAUAAAAAAACUGUCGAUAAUAUAUACAAAUAAACUCAUCCUGCGCAAGGCGCAAGUCUUAUCCUAGUAUUAGAGUAAACCACCUAUUUCCACACGAGAUGUAUCAUAUAGUAACAAUUCCACACAAUCUUCCAACCUCGAUCUAGUUCCACAUAUUAUAAGUACUAGGGGCAUUGUCCCCGCGCAAGCGCGGGGUUGUGGACAAAGUUCUUGUUUCAUCUCAAUAUUUGCUAGGGUUAUUGUAGUUGUGAAUUUUGCGUUUGAGUUGUUUUUCAAGUUUUUUUUAUUGUUAUAGGGUUAGAGUUGUGAUGAUGAACUGUGUAUGCAUUGUUCUCCACUUAUGAAUGACUAAACUGUGUUAGUAAUGUGAUUGAUAUAGUUCAUGUUGUUGUUUGCUGUAUCACUGUGACUUAUUGUUUGUUUGUCUUUUUAAUUUGUUUCUUGUACUGUUGAGAGUACAUAAAUUAUAUUAAAAUUGUUGGGAGUACCUAUUGUUUCUGGAUAUUUUUUCUCUAGUUUAGUUGUGUGUAUUAAGUAAUAAUUUUUAUUAUCCUUAUUAUGUUUGUUAUAUGUUUUUAUUUUAUUUUUAAACUUGUUGCUCUUACCGGACCUUUAAAACAAAUACAUGAAGACUUGUAGAAAUAACUAUAAAAUGAGUGACAGUUUUGAGUAUUUGGGCUUUAGUGAGUUUUAAACGAAUUUAUGUAUUUCUCAUAAGAAGACAAUAGCAUUGGCUUGUUGACAUUGGGCAUGUAAGCUAUUUUUAUAAGACAAGAGGAGUGAGCAGGUGAAGUUGUUGUUGUCGCCUUUGUGUCUCUUGUAUCUCUUGUUAUGGAUGUGUUUGUUUAUCUUUUAUUUGAUGGGUAAUAUGUAAACAAAAAUCAUUGUUAGUUAUAUUUAUCAGAGUUCAUAACUUACUCUGUUUUUUUUUUGUUUAGGUAAUUUCACUGAUCUUGGUUGUCGUCUUCGUCUUCUUCGUUGCGAAAGUAAGUUUGUAAAUUGUGAAAUAGCUGGCCGUGUAGUUUGUAUUUGUUUAGCUGACUCGAUGUAUGUGUCGUUGCGAAAGUAAAUUGUUAAAUAGAUAGUCGUGUAGUUUGUAUUGGUUUAUCUGACUCGAUGUAUGUGUCGUUGAGUUUUAGUUGAGGUGAUUGGUUUGGUAUAUUUGUUUUGAAGUUUAUUUAUAAGAUUAGACAAAAAAGAGAGGUUAUCAUUAAUGAUUCGUCUUUUUUGGAAUUCUAGUUUUUGGUGCUUUGAUUGUUUGAGUUGUUAUGGUUUCUUUUAAGCUGUAAAAUAAAGGUUUGUGUAAAAUAAGUUUGAUAAGUAAGAGAGAUAAAUAGACGACCACAGAAUUUGGGUAGGAAAUAUUUUUGAUUUUUGAUGUUAGCACAAUAUAGAUAAUAAUAUAAAGGGAAUUGUGUAUUGAUUGUUUUUUACAGAUCAAUGAAGAGACGGAUAAUGACUCGAGUUGUUUCUUUGCUAAGGUCAGAACCUUGGAUAGAUUGGAUUUGCCCAUCCACAUCUGCGAGUUUAAAUAUCAGUUAUGAUAACGAAACAUAUUAUAAACCCAGAUGCAAUGUGAUAAUAUACCUGGGAGUUCUAGGUUUGUGUUCGCAAUCACUUGGAAAUUGUCAAACAGUCUAAUUAUGAUUGGAGAUUUAUCUCAGGAGCACCCGUGAUGACUUCAUAAAUAAUAGUUGGUUAGAUGAAACGAAUGAGAAAUAGAUGAUCAAUUAUCUUAUAUCGACUUUCACAAUGGAACUAGCUUUCAAAGAUGGCAUGUAAUGAUUAGCACGUCCGGCGGGAAUAAAUCCAUGAAUUACAGAAUCUACAAAUAAUAUUAUUUAACAAAGAAUCAGGAAAUCAAUUAAAAAUAAUUAUAUUAAAUAAGUGUGAUAAAUCGAAGAUUAACUUACUUUUUCAUCAAGGAAGAGAAACAUGAUUCCCAUAAACUCACUGUCUUUCUUGAAGUUCAUGGAAUCACAUAAGUGAAGAGGUUAGAGGCUAUGCUCUGACUACUACGACCAACACGGAGAGACUCGAAGGUUGAGUGACUGAUGCCGGGAACGCCGGUUUGAGGAACUGGAGAGGCAGAGAGACAUUUUCUAGAAGAUCGUUAAAGCUAAGAGGAAUCAAUGAGUUUUGUGGAUAUGCAGAUUGAGUUCAUCAAAGAUGAAAAUCAUAUAUAUAGGGUUUACAGAAAGGCUAUAAAUCAGGAACAUUUAAGAUCAAGCGAUUUAAGAUGGGGAGAUGAAGAGUUCACCGUUGAAAAAAUAGAUUACGAACAGAUACACAGUGCAACUCUGUAACUCAGACGUGUCUAAGACAAUGAUGAAAAGAACCCUAACUCAUGUUAAACGAAGACAUUUUACAAUAUGGAAAAACUAUAAUUGUUGUUUUUUUCAUAUAACGUGAUUAACCUCAUUUAAAAAUGAAACUCAUAAUACACUUGUAGGCCCGGCCCACAGAGAAAACCGAAGAAGCAAAGGUUUCCGACCUUCAUAAAUAUAUAUUAGUUUCGGCCAUCAAUGUACAAAGUAUCUUUUAGUUUAGUGGUAUAAAUGUUGGUGUUUAUAUCUCAAUAACACGGGUUCGAGGCACAGGCUUGACACUUUUUCACACUUUUUAAAAGUGGGACCCACCAAAAUACUGACGUGUCGCCGCAGGAAAGAGGAAACUGUCUCAUUAUAUUAUAGAUUACAACUUAUUACUCCCCAGUCAGAAAGAUCGAAACUCAUAUCUCCAUAAAUGAAGGUUUGACUUGGUUUAAAUGAUUUGAACGUAAACCGAUAUGAAGUUAGUAUGUUUUGGACUGAAUUUAAAACUCGGUCCAACCUGAGAUCCAAAUAUGAACCCGACCCAACUUCCCAAUCAGACUUUAGUAAAUUUUUAAAAUCAGAUUGUAUCGAUUCAAUUAGGUUAGCCAUUGGUUAAGUUUCAAAUUUUUGAAUAGUAAACCGAUCUGAAUCGGAUUGUGUGGAUUUUAGUUCAUACUUAAUAAAUUAUGGAAAUACGGGUUUUGAUCUUUUGGAUUGGGGAGAAAUAGGUUUUAAUACUUCUAAUAUGUAGAAUUAGGUCGAGGUUUAGUAGAACUGUUACUAUAUGAUACAAUGGAAAUAGUUCUAUUAACCCAAAUAUUACAAAGGUAAAAUAUAAAACAAGGCACGUUAAGCCCAAUCAAACCUUAAAAAUACAAAGUGUAAGCCCAACGGACCUAACCGAAAAGAGACAGCUGAAUACCACAUUUGCAACGAAGGUUAAAAGGCGAAUGCAACAUUUAUCUUUUCAAGGAGGCUCAGUGUACUACUGAAAAAAUGAUAUUCAACGACCAAAUAACCAUUUCAGUUUGAUCAUUUUGAUAUUGCAAAAAAAAAAAAAAAAUUCUUUUAGUCACAUAUCAAAUAAACUGAAAAAUACAACUUAAAAUGCUAAGUUGAUGAAUUUAGACACCAAAUGACAUAUUUGGCCUCUAAAUGAAUUCAAAAGACACCUCAAAAUCUAAAAUGUUUGUAAACAAGUAAAAUUAUGAGCAUAUCAGAUAUUUAUUUAAGCUAAUACUUUUUAAAGACAAUAUGUUAAUAGUGUGGGUUCACAUUUUCCUUCUCACUUUCGAUUGAUAUGUCAGUUUUCCUCAUAUUUGAUUUAGUUACUUAUAAAUAAAUAUAUCUAAAUAAAACAAAGUUCUAAAUACAACAUUGAUGUAGCAUAGAUUAAUUUGUGUGAAAUUUUCAUAGCUUCAAAUUUGACAAUUUUUAAGAAAAUGAAAAAAUUGAAUAUAUUUUUCUAAAAUAUCUCAAAUCUAAAUUUUAAAAUACAUAUAGAAAAAUAAGAAAUGAAAAAAUGAGCCAAACAUUAAAAAAAUAUUUGGAAGAGAAGACAUGAAAAACACGAGUGGAUGGCUAAUGUAUGCAUAGUUUUCAAUGUAUCCCAUAGACUAAUAUAACACAAAGGAUCAAGUAGUAUAAGUUGUUUAGAUUUGAGUGAGUAAUGAAUGGAACGAGAGAAAGGUGAAGUCCAAUAAACAAAGGUGUUGUUAAAGAGAGAAGUGACUAGAUAGUUGCACAAAAGAGUUUGGUGUAUAUGAAGAUCAAUUGUGAGUAAAAUGAUAUAUAUGGUAUAUUGUGGAUCUCACGGAAGAUGAACACAUGGUUUAGUUCGUCGAUUAUGAAUAAAAGAUAGCAACUAGACACAAAUCUAACAGUAAACAACCAUGAUGUUGAAUAUAUUCUAAUAAAAAAAACUAAAAGAAAUCAGAUAGUUAAAACUUAUGAAAAUGCGGAAACAAAAAAAUCUAUAUAUUUUCUAAAGAAAAGUAGACAAUUAUGCUCAAAAAUUAAUAUGAGGCAGUUUCCAGUUACUGCUUAUAAUUAUAAUAAUUAAUUGAAAUACUUACUUAAAUUUCAUAAAACAUAUGUUAAAAUAUUUCAAUCAGAUUAUAAUAUUCAGAUAGCUAGAGAAUCUUUGUUUUCUGGAUCAAACUAAUAAUAGAAAAUCUAUAAGUAUAUUAAACCAAGAUUGCAUACUAUAUAUUUAGGGCAUGACUGGUUCAAACGCAGCGGUUGCGGUUGCGGAAGUUUGCGGAUGCGGGCCGUUGCGGUUACUAUCGAUUUUAAGAGAUUUGUAUGACAGGUUAUGCGGUUAGAAAUUGGUGCGUUUACGAGAUAUUUAUGACUGGUUAACUAUCAAAUACAGCAGCGGUUAAAUAAUAUAAUAAAUUAACAAUAUUUAUAUUUUAUAUAAUUAUAAAAAUCUAUGUUUGCGGGUGGUAGCGGGGAAACCAGUCAUACCCUCAGUUAGACUGAUAAAUUUAAUUUUGAAAUAAACCAAGUAAAAAGUUGUUUUAAACUUUUUUUGAGAUGGAUGAUAAAUAAAACAGAAACUCAAUGAUUUUAAAGUCAUUAAAAAGUAAAUCAAUAUAAAAUUUAACAAUUAUUUUACAUAAAAAAAAUAAUCCAAAAUAAAUUUUUAGAUAAAAAGUAAGGUUAAAUUAAUUUUUAACUCAUACACAUUAAUCUAUAACUUGGAAUAAAACACACAGCAAAAUAUGAGUUCUAACAUUUCAAAUUUAUCAGAACACGAAUAUUUAGUUUAAAUAGUUUGAAAUUUUAAUGAUAAAUUCUAAUGAUAAAUUCUAAUGUAUAUAUGAAAGCAUAUAUUUAAAUAAAAUUGUAAUAGUAAAAUAAUUAAAAUUGUAAAUAAAAAAACCCUAGCCAUAUCCCGGACAAACUCUAGUAAAUAAAUAUGAAACUCUUUCCUUUGAUGUUUGGUCAUUUAAUGUAUUUAAAAGAUGAUUAUUUUUUAUGGAAAUGAAGAUUGGAAAAGGAAGAUGAAAGUGGAGGGAUACAUGCAAAUUUUACAUAUUUGUAUAUAUAAUGUUACAUAAUAGUUGGAGCAAAAUUUAGUUGCAUAACUUAUUCUCUCUUUUUCUUCGCUUUGUCAACAUAGAAUGAUUUUGAUUCUAUCUAUUGAAGAUCUGAAAGAGAAGGUUAUGUUUUAGUUCAGCCCAUUUGAAUUCUUUUUUUGGCUUAACAUAUAUUUUAAGAAACUACAAAAUAGGCUGAAUAAAACUGAAUGUAAAAUUAUAUUAUGUUCUUAUAAACGUUAAAUCAAUUAUGAUGAGGUAAACAAAAAAAUCAAACUCAGUUUUAGAAAAAUACCACCACCAAAUUACUAAAAUAAAAACAACAAGAAACAUUAUUUAAUACUAGAGAUUUUGUAGCGCGGUUUAUAUAUUUUAAAUAUAGUAAAUUUAUUAUUUUACUAUUAUUUGCAUUUUUUGAAUUUUUAUUUAUGUUAGUAUUUAUUUAUUAAAUAAUUAUAUUAUUUCUACUUUAUAUUUUAGUAUAGUUAUUAUUUGAUGUUUGUUUUCUUCAUCUCAGUCUGUUAACCUUGUGUGAUUUAUAUUCUUUUGUACAUUUCUUUUUGUUAAUCUCUAUUUGAAACUCUAAGUAAUGUUUAUGGAAUAUUAUUUAUUUUUAAUUAAUUUUAAAAUAAAUUAAAUAUGAUUAAUUAAUGUGAUUUCUCAAUCUUUAUAUAUUUUAAGAUUUAUGUUCAGUACCAACAUAAUUUAUCUUUCCACUUUUUAAUGUUGGACAUUUAUGAAAGUAUCGCUUUCAUCCUACAUAUAUAAUGCAUAUUGUAAUUUAGGUUUAAGUUUACGUCUACCUUUAUUUUAUCUCUCUAAUUCGAAAGUUUGUUUCUUAUAUGAUUUAUAUUUACCAUUUAUAUGUUUUCAAUCAUUUUUCUAUAUGUUUAAUUAUAUUUAGUUUAAGUUAUCUUCAUUUUUUUGUACUUAAUGUAUUUCUCUAGUCUUUACUAAUAUGUUUACUUAUAUAUUUGAAGUUAGUUAUUGUUGUUUCCAGUUUAGCCCUUUGGUUUUAUAACUUGGCAAUCUUUCGUAAUGGUGAUGCAAUUUUUGAAGGAUUUUUUUCCCAAAAAUAUUCAUCUCUUUCUACAUAUUUUUAUAUUAAUUUUAGUAAGUUUAUAUUGAUAUUGAUUUUUUAUUUAUAGGACAUCUUUUCUUUUGUUAGUUAACAUAUUUACAUAAAAAAAUACACUUCAGUUUUAUUUAUUUGUGCGUUUUAUUUUUAAAGACUUAAUUAAUAUAUAUUAUGUAUAUAUUUUUGUAAUGAAGUAACUUAGAUAUCAAAUUAAUUUUCUUCUGGAUAUUUUUUGCUAGUGAUUUAAUACAGAAUUAACUUUACUGUGACAAAUAUAUUUUGAAACUUAUGCAAUUUUUAGAGUUUUUAUAUCGAUAGUUUUUAUAUUUACUUUCCAAACAUUAUUCUAAAUUAUCUUUUUUUGUUAGCUACGUAGUUAAUAACUAUUUUCUUGAAAAUUGAAGAGCAUCAAAACUUUUCGUAUACCAAAUCGACAAUCAAUCUUUUGUUUUUUGUCAACUAAAAAAAGUGAAGAACGAAUGUUAUCUUGCUAUCAUAAUUAUAUAAAUGUUGAUUUUAUUCAAAAGAUUUUCUGUUAGAUAAAUUUUUAUUCUUUAUUUUCAUACAUCAGUCUAAAUAUCUAUAUUUUUUUCUUCUAAUGGCUGUGUAUUUAAUUUAUUAUUUUCUGAGAAACUAAAAGGCAAUAAAAAAAUUCGGGUACCAAAUCAUUAAUAAUCGAUCUUUUGUAUUUUCUUAACUCAGAAAAAGUGAGAAACAGUUAUCACUUGCGAUCAUAAUCACAUAAAUAUUUAAUUUUAUUAUUUUAGCAUUAGGAGUAGAGAAAUUGCCACAAAUAUCACAUUCAAAGUACCAUUUUUCAUGUCUACACUAAUCAUUUUUACCUUCACUUUUAAUGAAAAGUAAAAAACAUUUAUACCCUUAGGGUUAACUAAUCUAAACUUAGGGUUUAGAGUUGAGGGUGUUUAGGGUUUUUGGAAUAUGAAAUUUAGGAUUCUAAUAAAUAUAUAAAUAAACACUUAAAAAAUAUUAAAAAACAAUUUAAAAAUAGUUUUAAACAUAAUUUUUUGAUUUUCAAAAUAAAAUUCAAAAAAAAAAAUAAAAAAAAUCGAAAAGAAAAAAUUAUAAAAAAAAUUUGAAUUUAAAAAAGUAUAAUUCAAAAACAUAUUUUUAUUUUUUAUUUAUUUAAAUAAUGAUUUAUUAUAUAUAUAGAGAACAAGGGUAUAAGAGUUUUUUGGCCACUUAAUGAAGAAUGUAUUUUUGAAAAUAUCAUUUUAAUGGUGGUAAAGAUGAAAAAUGCUACCAUGAAAGUGGUAAACAUUAAAUUUUCUCUCGGGUGUAACAAUUUCGAGAACAUAUAUAUAAUAAGCAUAUUUUUUUAUCAACAUAUAUAUAAUAAGCAUAUACAUUGUUUUGCUUGUAACAAUAAUCGAACAUUGUAAAAUUCGUAGGAGUGGGGAGCAGAGAGAGAUCAAUCUUAAGCCAAGCUUCCAAAGAACCUGCAAGAAGCCUAGAGGGUUGAAACUUUCUUCCGCUUAUAAUCUGGGUGUGAAAAAUAAUCCAAACAAAACUGGUCUAUAUGUUAUCGACAUCAGUACAUGAAUUCUCAGCAAGUUUGCUAGUGAUUUAAUACAGAAUUAACUUUACUGUGACAAAUAUAUUUUGAAACUUAUGCAAUUUUUAGAGUUUUUAUAUCGAUAGUUUUUAUAUUUACUUUCCAAACAUUAUUCUAAAUUAUCUUUUUUUGUUAGCUACGUAGUUAAUAACUAUUUUCUUGAAAAUUGAAGAGCAUCAAAACUUUUCGUAUACCAAAUCGACAAUCAAUCUUUUGUUUUUUGUCAACUAAAAAAAGUGAAGAACGAAUGUUAUCUUGCUAUCAUAAUUAUAUAAAUGUUGAUUUUAUUCAAAAGAUUUUCUGUUAGAUAAAUUUUUAUUCUUUAUUUUCAUACAUCAGUCUAAAUAUCUAUAUUUUUUUCUUCUAAUGGCUGUGUAUUUAAUUUAUUAUUUUCUGAGAAACUAAAAGGCAAUAAAAAAAUUCGGGUACCAAAUCAUUAAUAAUCGAUCUUUUGUAUUUUCUUAACUCAGAAAAAGUGAGAAACAGUUAUCACUUGCGAUCAUAAUCACAUAAAUAUUUAAUUUUAUUAUUUUAGCAUUAGGAGUAGAGAAAUUGCCACAAAUAUCACAUUCAAAGUACCAUUUUUCAUGUCUACACUAAUCAUUUUUACCUUCACUUUUAAUGAAAAGUAAAAAACAUUUAUACCCUUAGGGUUAACUAAUCUAAACUUAGGGUUUAGAGUUGAGGGUGUUUAGGGUUUUUGGAAUAUGAAAUUUAGGAUUCUAAUAAAUAUAUAAAUAAACACUUAAAAAAUAUUAAAAAACAAUUUAAAAAUAGUUUUAAACAUAAUUUUUUGAUUUUCAAAAUAAAAUUCAAAAAAAAAAAUAAAAAAAAUCGAAAAGAAAAAAUUAUAAAAAAAAUUUGAAUUUAAAAAAGUAUAAUUCAAAAACAUAUUUUUAUUUUUUAUUUAUUUAAAUAAUGAUUUAUUAUAUAUAUAGAGAACAAGGGUAUAAGAGUUUUUUGGCCACUUAAUGAAGAAUGUAUUUUUGAAAAUAUCAUUUUAAUGGUGGUAAAGAUGAAAAAUGCUACCAUGAAAGUGGUAAACAUUAAAUUUUCUCUCGGGUGUAACAAUUUCGAGAACAUAUAUAUAAUAAGCAUAUUUUUUUAUCAACAUAUAUAUAAUAAGCAUAUACAUUGUUUUGCUUGUAACAAUAAUCGAACAUUGUAAAAUUCGUAGGAGUGGGGAGCAGAGAGAGAUCAAUCUUAAGCCAAGCUUCCAAAGAACCUGCAAGAAGCCUAGAGGGUUGAAACUUUCUUCCGCUUAUAAUCUGGGUGUGAAAAAUAAUCCAAACAAAACUGGUCUAUAUGUUAUCGACAUCAGUACAUGAAUUCUCAGCAACAAUAGAGAGAGAGCGACAUAGAGCACAGAACAUAAAAACAAACAUAACUUAGACUCUUUUACGAAUCUUAAAACGUAAAACUUAAAACGGUAUUACGCAACAGCCAAAAACUUUAGGUUCUUUUGUAGUUUAUAUCCAUUUCAGAACACGGGAAACAAUGUCUCCUCACCAAGUUCACGAAUAGCAUUCUGGUUCCUUGGUCAGAACAGAAAUAUAGAUUGGAUAUAAGGACUCUAAAGGUUCAACAUGUUAACAUUUACAUGAAAUUUUUAAAACACUGGAAGGAACGAUGGUACCUCAUAUAACCCACUCAAAAGAGGUACACCAACUCUAUCCCCUUCAACUUCGUAUAGAGUAGAAGCCACAAAAGCUUCUGAAGAAGCUUCCAUUGACUGUUUAUUCGAGUUAUUUUUAGGAACAACUUGUGGUAUACGUCUGUGGCUGCAUUCGGCAUACUUGUUCUUGAUGAUAUUUCUGUUCUUGUUGUUGUUGUAUGGGAAAGUUUGGUGAAAGAGACAAUGCUGUAGCGACGGAGAGGGCAUGGGACUGAGCCUGGUGUGUGUGGCUUGUGAUGUCUUUGACGUUGUUAUGUUUGUGGUGCUUAGGUAUAACGCACAUUUUGUGCAGAACUCAUGACCACAUCAUGUUAUGUCACACAGACACACAAUCAAUUCAGUGUUCUAAUUAAGGUCAGUAGAGAAGAAUCGAUAGGUUCCAUUUUAUUUCCAAACAAAUGGCGCAAGGGUCACUACAUGGUCCCAUGGAAUUAGAAAUCAUUUCCCCGCCAGCCGCAUUCUUUGAAAUCCACAAACAAACCAAAAUAUCAGAUCCCAGAGUUGCCUGAUCAUAUUAGGUUAAAGGUUUACUGACUGAGCGAUCUUGGCAAUGCUCAUUAGAGGAAGACAGAGGUAAGGAGAAGGGACUUUUGGUAGUGGCUUUGUAGCUGAUCUGUGGUUGAGUUCUAUAUUGCCAUGAGGGAGAAACCAUCAAUGACAUCCAUCUAAAACCAAUAAACUAAACAAACAAAGACACUACGGUACUGAACCAAACUCUCUCUGAUUGAGUUUUGCAGGCAGAGAAACAGAGAGAAGAUCUAAUUCGAUAGAGCUUUCGGCAGUCAAAGAGGCAGGCACCUUUGCCCAUCAAAAGCUGAUAAAAACAAAUGUCAAAUGAAUUGAUAUCUGAGUUUUAAACAACACUUUUCCGAAAUGUUAUCGGGAUGAGACUGAUAUUAACUUACUCAGCAUGGUGCAGCCUGAUCAUAUUAGGUUAAAGGUUUACUGACUGAGCGAUCUUGGCAAUGCUCAUUAGAGGAAGACAGAGGUAAGGAGAAGGGACUUUUGGUAGUGGCUUUGUAGCUGAUCUGUGGUUGAGUUCUAUAUUGCCAUGAGGGAGAAACCAUCAAUGACAUCCAUCUAAAACCAAUAAACUAAACGAACAAAGACACUACGGUACUGAACCAAACUCUCUCUGAUUGAGUUUUGCUGGCAGAAAAAACAGAGAGAAGAUCUAACUCGAUAGAGCUUUCGGCAGUCAAAGAGGCAGGCACCUUUGCCCAUCAAAAGCUGAUAAAAACAAAUGUCAAAUGAAUUGAUAUCUGAGUUUUAAACAACACUUUUCCGAAAUGUUAUCGGGAUGAGACUUAUAUUAACUUACUCAGCAUGGUGCAGCCGGUCGAGUACAUGUGAAUUGAUAUUGAUUGACUGGAUCUUCAUCCUCAACGGCAUCGUCUAACAAAACACUGACGAUUACAGAGAUCUAACUUCUCUCUCGCUCUUCACCAAUUAUGAUCCAAGCCAAUUUCUUGAUCAAAGUAGCUUAGGCAAACCACUUAAAAUUAAAUCAAUCUCGCCAUUCGUUUAUAAAGUUAGGUUGGAGGGAGAGGAGAAGUUGAAGACGGUUCGAUACAUUAUUGUUCCUAAAUGGUAGAUGGCAAUAACGGAGGAAGGUGAGUGAUUCCGGGGAUGUGUAACGGAGGGUGAUGCUUUGUUUCUUAUGGAAGCAAGAGAUACGAAGAGGAAAACACAUAGCCAGUUAGGGUGCAGAGAUUUUUUUUCUUUUUUGGCUUAGCUUGUCUGGCAAAACAAAUGAUGUGGCUAAAUAUGUUUGGUGGAAUUUUUAAGGUGACGUGGACAUGCUGAUAGCUGAGCAUUAAGCCAUUUUAGUAUCGUAAGAUUUCGUGUCUUUUCUAUGCUUUAUUAAAUUUUAAACAUAGAGAAAAAACGAAAAAAAUGCAAAUAAAUAACUGAAUUUAAAUUACAGACAUGUCAUUAUUUUAGGUAUUCACUUCAUUCAAGGCGCGGAUUAUCACCUAGUACUAUUAUUAUUUGAGAAGUAAAUUUGAUGAUUUUUUAUGUUUUCCAUAAUUUUAGGUUUAGUCAUAUUUUAUACCUAAUUAUUAAUCUUAAAAAAUAUUAUUAGUGAUUUAGAUAAUAAUUUAUCAUUAUCUUGAAAAUAAUUAAGAAAAUUCCAACAAUAAUAUCAUAAUUAAAUUUAUAUUAUAUUUACUUUAGCAAUAUUAAAAUAUUAUAUGUAUGUUUAUACCAUAUUUGGUUUAGUAAUACUAAAUCGACUCUAUUUUAAUAUUUAUAUAUAUCAGAUAAGUUAGAAUGAACAAUAUAUCUUUUAAGAUAAUUUUUUUAGGAAAAUCAAAAUUAUUUAUUGUGAUAAUUUCUGAAAAAUUGGCAAAUAAUUCACAAAUAUUUAUUUUAUUAUUUGUAAAGUGAUUUUUCUGUUCUCACGUUAAAAUUUAGAGUGUUUAAAAUCUUUAUUACUCUUAACAAAGAAUUAGAUUAAAUUUGUUAAUAUACAAUUACACAUAAAUUAAAAACAUAUUUUAUUAAUUUGAUCAUCAUCAUUAUUAAUAUGGACUUUUUAGGAUCCGAAUAUCAAAGUAAUAUAGAUAGAGUGUCAAUCUAAUCCUAAGUCAUUUUGAAAGAAUGAGAAUACAGUGAAUGCUUAAUCUAAGUGCAAAAGUAGUAGAGUGAUAGUAAUCAAAUAACUAAGAAAGACAAGAACAAUAACUAAAACUUUCGAUCAUUAAGAGAAAAUAGGACUCAUGGGGUUAUGUGUUUGAUUCAAGUGACUAAGAUCUAAUCCAGUGACAAGCUUUCAAUCAAAAGAUUUUCUUAAGUCUAGAUCACAUAAUUAAACAAGUUCCUUCCUAGGAUAAAUGUUCAUUUGCUAUCAUUAAUUAGCCAUCAACUCCGGUUGGUCUAACGCAAUCAAACAAUCAUCAGGAACGAGUCUAGUAACCAUCUAUGAAUCCUAACAUCAACUCUUGUUGGCCAGAAAAGCAAAGAGCCCAAUCAAUUAAGUUCAACCAUUUCAACAAACACCUCCCAAAUGUGAAAUGUCUACCGUUAAAGAUUAAAGUUGCCAACACUAAUUUAGCAGUAAAAACAGUAGAUAGGCAAGAAAAUAUAAAGAUCAAACACUAAACAUUCUAGAUCUUCCCUUAAUCACUCUAACCCAUGAAUUCAAAAAGAAUAUACUAACUAAUCACUGUGUUUAAUCUUAAACUUAUAAUAGAUUCAAGACAAAUCAUGAUAAGAUGAUGAAAUAAUCUUAGAUUUACUCAAAAAAAAAAAAAUUAAAAUACCAAAGAUUCAAUCUUUCUUCAGAGUAACAAUGUAUUUUUGAUAGAAAACAAGAUAGGAAGUAAGAUAAAACUUAGAUGAUUAGGGUUUUUGUCUUUAAACAUAUACUGUAUAUAGGCAAUUAAAAAUGACUUAUUCUUGGGUCGAUACCCUAGGGUGAACUCAUCAACCAAUAGGAUUGUGUUAUUUCAUAUUUGAUAUUUUUUAAAAAAGGAAAUAAAAUAUUGUCAAAUUAUAUUAUGUUUUUAAAAUUAAAAAAUAAAAAGAACUAAUAAAAAAAUAGUAGUAAUUACACAAAAAAAAUAUUUUUAACGUCGUUAGCAAAACAUUAAACCGAAAACCAUAAAUCCUAAACUCUAAAUCAAAAUCACUAAACACUAAAACACUCAAGGGUUUAGGGUUUAGAGUUUAAGAUUUAUCCAAGGGUUUAUGAUUUAUCCAAAGGUUUAGGAUUUAUCCAAGGGUUUAGGGAUUAGGAUUUAGGGUUUAGUGUUUUGCCGAUGAUGUGAAAAAUAUUUUUUUUUAAUUCUUUUUCUGUAACUAUUUUUUUAUAUAUUUUUUUUAUAUUUUAAAAACAGAAUAUAACUCAACAAUAUUUUGUUUCUUUUUAAAAAGAUAUGAAAUUUGAAAUAAAGAAAUUUUAUAUAUUGGUUUGUGAUCCUUUAGGUUCAGUGGGUGAACUUAAAGGUUCAGAGGGUGAACCUUGGUGAACGCAAGAAUAACUUAUUAAAAAUAGGGUUUCAAUCGCUAAACGCUAUUUUUCUGUGACUGCGUUUAUGAAACGCGCGAUUUGUAAUCGCGUUUGGCGUUUUUUGUUCUUCGCGUCUCUCGAGCUUCGUCUGCGUCUCUGCUACACGCAGCUCGUGCUCCUCCGUCGCUCCACCGCAACUGCUCGGGUCUUCUUCUCCACCGGAACCACCACCCUGAGUCGUCUCCGCCUUGAAACAGCGCUCGUCCCGGCCGUUCUAGCCGUCACAGUCCGAGAGCGUUGAAUCGAGCAUGCUCUGUUUCGACCCAUCGGUCGUUUUCCUUCGUCGAGCUGAGACCUGGGUCGAGAGCUUGGAUCGAGCAUUCGAAUCUUCAUCCAUCGGUCGCUUUGUUCCUCACGAACCAAAGCUCAAACUCAGAUCGAGGGAGAUGAAGCGAGCAAGCCACAUUUGUGCUCGAUUAGAACUCUCGGUCUGAUGCUUGGGUUGGCAGGAAGGACCGAACAGGACGGGUUGAGCAUUCCAUCUUCUUCAUCUUGAGUGCUUAAAAGCUCAUAAUCCAGCCAUGGCCAACUUCUACGUAUUUUCAGGAUUGGUCUCUGUGUUUUUGAUCCCUUUCUAUUUCGACCCCGAAACUUCUGUUUAUCCAGAAAGGUCCUUGAAAUUGCCCCAGAACUUAUGAUCGUGUUUUUCAGACCCUGUAUAUGCAAUAUGUACAAAUAAAACACCUAAUGGCCUCUAAAUGCAAUCCUUAACACUUAAAAUGACCAAAUUCAAUAGAUAAAAACAUAUAAAAAUGCUAUACAUCAAUUAUCUAAAAAGAUUUUGUAUUAUGUUAUCCAAAAAUAUUUUACAUCAUAAUAUUUUAAAAAUAAUUAUAAAUCCUUGUAUAUAUGAAUGUUUUCAAGUUUAUUUUACGGAAUAAAAUUUAUUUUCUUAAAAUUAAAAACUUUAUCAUAUAUAUAAAAUAUUUCAAAAGCAUAAAAAUAAUUUAUUCUAAUGGUUUUUGAAUUUAUAAUAGAUCUAUUUACACUUUUUCGUAAAAUAACUAAGCAUGUAAGUGCGGGCAAAAUACCUAGUAUUAGAGUAUAUUUAAUAUUCUUAGAAUAAUUGGUAAGUGGGGAAAAAAAACUGAACCCAAAAUCAACUCAAACCAAACUAUAGUAUAUAUUUUUAAAGGUAGGCAUGGACAUUUUAUCCAAUAUCUAAAACCAAAUCCAAACCCGAUAGGAAAAACUUAAAUCGAAGUCCAAGCCAAAGUAGCAUAAUACCCAAACAUGUAUUGAGUGGAUAUCUGAAUCCAAAUGGAUAAUAUCCAAACCCGAACGAUACGUGAAGUUAAUCGAACAUAUGUAUACUUAUGUUUCUAUAUUCCUAGUUUACUUUAAUUUAUUCAAAAUAUUUAUACUGACGUUGCACGUAAUUCAAUUCAAAUUAUAUACAUAUAGUUACUGAUAAAUUGAUUUGUUACUCAGUUAAAAUGAAUAUCAAACUUCUUAUUUCAUGCAUUAAAAAAAGUUACAAUUAAACUAUCGAAACAAUUUCUAGAUCAGUGUCUUUCUAUUUUUUGUUUACAAAUCUUGUAAUCUCCCAACCUAUUAAAACUAAAAAAAAUCAGUUAAGUUAAUGGUAGCCGAAACCUGAGCAGUGAAGAGUUUGAGUGGUUUUUGAAAUCUAAAAAAUCUGAACCCGGUUCAAAAUAACCAAACCAAAACUAAAAUUAUCUGAACCCAACUGAAAUAUAAAAAUACUUUAAUGGACUCUAGACCCCUAUACCAAAAUAUCUGAAAACCUGAAAUACUUAGUCUAAACCUGAACAGGUAUCCGAACGCCCAAACCUAUUUAAAUAAGUUUUUUUAAAACCGAACCGGCUAGUUAACCGGAAUUGUGUUGGGUCAUGGGUCACUGUGGUUUGACCGGAAUCGAUCGGUUUGAUUGGAUUAAAAGAUAAUAAAUUAAUUUAAUAGCUUAAAUCUAAAAUCAAUGCGAAAAUGCACAUUUAAACACCAGGUCUUUAUUACUCUAGAUCGUUGGGAUUUAAACAAAUGAAGCGUAAACCAUAAGCAAGAAAAAAUGAUCAUAUAAACUAAGUUUUGAUGUGGAAGCACCUUAGCCUAUUGGUUAAGGUUUAAAUGCUUCUACACCCAGGUCUGGGGUUCGAAUCCCAGACUAUGCAAUUUCUUGCAGAUUAUAGGAUGCGAAGCUUUCGGAGGUUCCAGAGUACUGUAAGCAGAGCCGUUCGUUGUGAUCGCCUAUUGCGGUGAGAGUCUGUCCAUCGAGGAUGUCGUACAUGCAGAACCGUCUGUGGUUUCAAAUGUUUCGGGGAGAGCUUCAUCGUGGAAUCAUUAUUCGUGGAGCUGUUCAUCAAUAUCGCAUAUGUUGCAGGUAGUUGAUCAUCAUAUGUAAUAGAUUUAGAGAUUAUAUGAUGAUGUAAUGUGUUACCCAGCGUUAAAAAAAAAAAACGCACAUUUUUUGAUUUGCUCAAUGGAUAAGAAGGAAGAAUAAGUUAAGUGUUUUGUUGUUUUAUAAGUCUAUAUAAAUUUCACAUAUGUUAAUGUCUCAAUUAUUUAAUUCUUCAACACAACUGAUCAUGAAAUAAUAUUUAAACAAAAUGAAAAGCAGACAAGACAAAGACAAUACCUUUACGUGAAUCUUGUGACUUAUGAGUUGCAGAGACGUCAAAAUAACAAGAAGAGAUGAGUUACGGCGCGAUACUUUAUCUAUAUUAUUAAAAGUGGAAUAUUUUUGAAACUAACCAUUACUUCACCGUAAUACUUAGCAACUUUUGCCACUGCAUUUAAUAAUUAUUAACUAAUUAACUAUGAACCAUUAAUUUUGUUCAAUUAAUAUCUAUUCAAAUUUACCAUUAUUCUCUAACAAAACUUACCAUUAUUUUCUAACCUAAAUAUUCUCUAAUAAAUUUUUACAAUAAAAUUAAACAUAUUUAUUUAAAAUGCGACAUAAAAACUUUAACUAUUAUAUAUUCAAGUAUAUUAUUAUUUCAUUUCACAUAAAAAUAUAAAGUAUAUAUAUUUUAUAAAAAAUAUAUAUAUUUAUUUUGUAAAUAUAUGUUAAUAAUUUGAUGAUUAAUAUUAUUCACUUAUAUGUAUUUGAAUUAUCAGAGACAUAUCUAUCUAUUUUAUUAAAAUAUAAGUGAACUUUUAUUGGAAAAUUGUUACAAAUACAACAUUCAUAUUACCACUUUUCAUGUUUACACUAAACGUUAUUAAUACCCCUAGGGUUAACUAAUAUAAACUUAAUGUUUAGAAUUGACGAGUGAGGUAGGGUUUUUGGAAUGUGAAAUUUAGGAUUCUAAUAAAUAUAUAAAUAAAUAAUUAAAAAAAUAUAAAUUUUAAAAAAUAAAUUUUGAAAAAUAAAUUCGAAAAAGAAAUUCAAAAAAUAAAUUUAUAAAAAGCUCGAAUUUGAAAAAAGUAUAAUUAGAAAACAUAAGAAAAAUAUUUUUAAUUUUUUAAUUUUCUUUAAUUUUUUAAUUUAUUAUAUAUAUAGAGAACAAGAUAUAAGAAUAGUUUGCCACUUAAUGAAAAAUUUAUUUUUGAAAGUAUCCCUUUAGUGGUGGUAAAGAUGAAUAAUAAUACCAUGAAAGUGGUAAACAUGAAAUCUCCCCCAUUUUUAUGUGCAUAAAAUAAUCAAUUUGGAAAUAAAAAUUUAUUAAUACACAGAAACAUACUAAUUGGUGUUUUAAUUUAUAAAUAAAUACAUCAAAAAUGGUUAAUGCAAUUAAAACUACUAAUUGAGGAAUAUGUUAUGUAACAUAUGAUUUUGAUUAGUCUAGUAUCCAAUCACAAUAUGAGCAACUAAAAAAUUACAGAAAAUUAAAAAACGUCGAACUAUCAUAAAUAUAUAAUACAAAUAGAAAUAAACACCCAUAUGAAUGCAUGUUUGUACAACUAUUACAUAUUUAUGCUGUGAAGAAUUUCAUAUAUUUAUUCUGUUAAAACUAAAGUACAAAUAGAACGAAAAUAUUUUUCAACAAGUUAUUACAUUUAUCAUUACAUUUUUUACUCAAUUUAGAAACUUCAUUAAUUAUAUUAUCUUAACAAUACAUCACAUCAUUAAUUAUAUUAGCAUAAUAAUAAUAGUGCAGAUUUUUAUUUAUUAGUUAACACUUAAUAUUAACUUUGAACCAAUUAUAAAAAUCAAAAUGUAAAAUAAUCGGGUUUUGCAGAUGGUUAAGAGUUUGGUUUAGUUUGUUUUACUAUUUUUAUCUUAAUUUUAAUCGGUAAAAAACUACGAACAAAACAUAUAAUUCAAAUAUAUAGUUUAUGUGAACAAAAUAAUAACUUAAAUCAAAAUAAUAAAAACGUAUUACAUAUAUUGUCACUUGAUUUUUCACACUAUAUAACUAUUUUACUAGAUAAGAAAACUCUUUCUAUUUCACUUAAUUUAACCAAACACAUAGAAAGAGUUUUUUAUUUGUUUACAAAAUCAUUUAGCAAUGAACAUUUAGGUACCCAUUCAGGUACGGGUUAUUUUUUUAGGUAUCAGAUUCUUCUGAGUUUUGAAAUUAAGCCCCGCUUGGAUAUUGUAAAUUUAUGUGUAGAUUUCGAAUUGGGUCAUCUCGGGUUUACAUGGUUCGGUUCUGAUGUAUAGGAACAUAAAAAUAUCCAAAUAACCAAAGUAUCUGAAAUGGAUUCGGAUAUUUGUACCAAAAAUAACUAAAUAACUAUAUAUGAAAAAACGUAAUACAAAACAUUAAAACCAAUAUAAUGGUUUAUGUUCUUAAAAAAGAAACUUAUUUAUAUGAUUGACUUUUUUAUGACCAGUGUUGACUUAAUUUGUAUCAUCUCUUUUUGCAGACAAUUGUGAAAAAUAGGAUCGCUUGACCCGCAAAAGGCAAAGGGAAUGAUAUUAGUGUGUCUUAGGGUAAGAAUGAAGAGGAACAAUGUAUUCCUUAAUAUUCCUAAGAAAUUUUACCAUUCCUCAUUACUCCUAUAAUUUUAUUAUUUUCUAUUUCUUUCCUAUUUGUUCACGGGAGAGUGGAAAAGGGACGAGCCGUGUCUAUAGCUGGUGGUGGGGCGCAUCUAGACCAUUUAAGUAUUGGGUGCACUAUUGCAAGUAAAAGAUAAAAAGGCUUUUGGUAAGCAUCGAACCUGAGAAAGUGAGGGUGCAUAUGUGACCUUUUACCACAUGAGCUAACCAACAAAUUUAACUGUUUUUACAUGCAAAAUUUUUAAUUUUAAUAUAACUGUGGGUGCACGUACACCCAGACCCUAUAACGUGGCUUCGCCGUGUAGGGUUUUAUUUAUUUGUGCGUUUUAUUUUUAAAGACUUAAUUAAUAUAUAUUAUGUAUAUAUUUUUGUAAUGAAGUAACUUAGAUAUCAAAUUAAUUUUCUUCUGGAUAAUUUUUGCUAAUGAUUUAAUACAGAAUUAACUUUACUGUGACAAAUAUAUUUUGAAACUUAUGCAAUUUUUAGAGUUUUUAUUUCGAUAGUUUUUAUAUUUAGUUUCCAAACAUUAUUCUAAUUAUCUUUUUUUUUAGCUACGUAGUUAAUAACUAUUUUCUUGAAAAUUAAAGAGCAUCAAAACUUUUCGUGUACCAAAUCAACAAUCAAUCUUUUGUUUUUUGUCAACUAAAAAAAGUGAAAAACGAAUGUCAUCUUGCUAUCAUAAUUAUAUAAAUAUUGAUUUUAUUAAAAAGAUUUUCUGUUAGAUAAUUGUUUAUGCUUUAUUUUCAUACAUCAGUCUAAAUAUCUAUAUUUUUUUCUUCUAAUGGCUGUGUAUUUAAUUUAUUAUUUUCUGAGAAACUAAAAGGCAAUAAAAAAAUUCGGGUACCAAAUAACUAAUAAUCGAUCUUUUGUAUUUUCUUAGCUCAGAAAAAGUGAGAAACAGCUAUCACUUGCGAUCAUAAUCAUAUAAAUAUUUAAUUUUAUUAUUUUAGCAUUAGGAUUUAGGAGUAACAAUUUCGAGAACAUAUAUAUAAUAAGCAUAAUUUUUUAUCAACAUAUAUAUAAUAAGCAUAUACAUUGUUUUUGCUUGUAACAAUAAUCGGACAUUGUAAAAUUCAUAGGAGUGGGGAGCAGAGAGGGAUCGAUCUUAAGCCAAGCUUCCAAAGAACCUGCAAGAAGCCUAGAGGGUUGAAACUUUCUUCCGCUUAUAAUCUGGGUGUGAAAAAUAAUCCAAACAAAACUGGUCUAUAUGUUAUCGACAUCAGUACAUGAAUUCUCAGCAAGAAAAGAGAGAGAGAGCGACAUAGAGCACAAAACAUAAAACCAAACAUAACUUAGACUCUUUACGAAUCUUAAAACGUAAAACUUAAAACGGUAAAACGCAACAGCUAAAAACUUUAGGUUCUUUUGUAGUUUAUAUCCAUUUCAGAACAUGGGAAACAAUGUCUCCUCACCAAGGUCAUGAAUAGCAUUCUGGUUCCUUGGUCAGAACAGAAAUAUAGAUUGGAUAUAAGGACUCUAAAGGUUCAAAAUGUUAACAUUUACAUGAAAUAUUUAAAACACUGGAAAGAACGAUGGUACCUCAUAUAUUUCACUCAAAAGAGGUACACCAACUCUAUCCUCUUCAACUUCGUAUAGAGUAGAAGCCACAAAAGCUUCUGAAGGAGUUUCCAUGGACUGUUUAUUCGAGUUAUUUAGGAACAACUUGUGGUAUACGUCCGUGGCUGCAUUCGGCAUACUUGUUCUUGAUGAUAUUUCUGUUCUUGUUGUUGUUGUUGUAUGGGAAAGUUUGGUGAAAGAGACAAUGCUGUAGCGACGGAGAGGGCAUGGGACUGAGCCUGGUGUGGGUGGCUUGUGAUGUCUUUGAUGUUGUUAUGUUUGUGGUGCUUAGGUCUAACGCACAUUUUGUGCAGAACUCAUGACUACAUCCUGUUAUGUCACACAGACACACAAUCAAUUCAGUGUUCUAAUUAAGGUUAGUAAAGAAGAAUCGAUACAUUACCAUCAGCAGCUAGGUUCCAUUUUAUUUCCAAACAAAUGGUCACUACAUGGUCCCAUGGAGUUAGAAAUCAUUUCCCCGCCAGCAGCAUUCUUUGAAAUCCGCAAACAAACCAAAAUAUCAGAUCUCAGAGUUGCCUGAUCAUAUUAGGUAAAAGGUUUACUUACUGAGCGAUCUUGGCAAUGCUCAUUAGAGGAAGACAGAGGUAAGGAGAAGGGGCUUUUGGUAGAUGGCUUUGUAGCUGAUCUGUGGUUGAGUUAUAUAUUUCCUCGAGCCAGUUCGUGUGCCAUGAGGGAGAAACCAUCAAUGACAUCCAUCUAAAACCAAUAAACUAAACGAACAAAGACACUACGGUACUGAACCAAACUCUCUCUGAUUGAGUUUUGCUGGCAGAAAAAACAGAGAGAAGAUCUAACUCGAUAGAGCUUUCGGCAGUCAAAGAGGCAGGCACCUUUGCCCAUCAAAAGCUGAUAAAAACAAAUGUCAAAUGAAUUGAUAUCUGAGUUUUAAACAACACUUUUCCGAAAUGUUAUCGGGAUGAGACUUAUAUUAACUUACUCAGCAUGGUGCAGCCGGUCGAGUACAUGUGAAUUGAUAUUGAUUGACUGGAUCUUCAUCCUCAACGGCAUCGUCUAACAAAACACUGACGAUUACAGAGAUCUAACUUCUCUCUCGCUCUUCACCAAUUAUGAUCCAAGCCAAUUUCUUGAUCAAAGUAGCUUAGGCAAACCACUUAAAAUUAAAUCAAUCUCGCCAUUCGUUUAUAAAGUUAGGUUGGAGGGAGAGGAGAAGUUGAAGACGGUUCGAUACAUUAUUGUUCCUAAAUGGUAGAUGGCAAUAACGGAGGAAGGUGAGUGAUUCCGGGGAUGUGUAACGGAGGGUGAUGCUUUGUUUCUUAUGGAAGCAAGAGAUACGAAGAGGAAAACACAUAGCCAGUUAGGGUGCAGAGAUUUUUUUUCUUUUUUGGCUUAGCUUGUCUGGCAAAACAAAUGAUGUGGCUAAAUAUGUUUGGUGGAAUUUUUAAGGUGACGUGGACAUGCUGAUAGCUGAGCAUUAAGCCAUUUUAGUAUCGUAAGAUUUCGUGUCUUUUCUAUGCUUUAUUAAAUUUUAAACAUAGAGAAAAAACGAAAAAAAUGCAAAUAAAUAACUGAAUUUAAAUUACAGACAUGUCAUUAUUUUAGGUAUUCACUUCAUUCAAGGCGCGGAUUAUCACCUAGUACUAUUAUUAUUUGAGAAGUAAAUUUGAUGAUUUUUUAUGUUUUCCAUAAUUUUAGGUUUAGUCAUAUUUUAUACCUAAUUAUUAAUCUUAAAAAAUAUUAUUAGUGAUUUAGAUAAUAAUUUAUCAUUAUCUUGAAAAUAAUUAAGAAAAUUCCAACAAUAAUAUCAUAAUUAAAUUUAUAUUAUAUUUACUUUAGCAAUAUUAAAAUAUUAUAUGUAUGUUUAUACCAUAUUUGGUUUAGUAAUACUAAAUCGACUCUAUUUUAAUAUUUAUAUAUAUCAGAUAAGUUAGAAUGAACAAUAUAUCUUUUAAGAUAAUUUUUUUAGGAAAAUCAAAAUUAUUUAUUGUGAUAAUUUCUGAAAAAUUGGCAAAUAAUUCACAAAUAUUUAUUUUAUUAUUUGUAAAGUGAUUUUUCUGUUCUCACGUUAAAAUUUAGAGUGUUUAAAAUCUUUAUUACUCUUAACAAAGAAUUAGAUUAAAUUUGUUAAUAUACAAUUACACAUAAAUUAAAAACAUAUUUUAUUAAUUUGAUCAUCAUCAUUAUUAAUAUGGACUUUUUAGGAUCCGAAUAUCAAAGUAAUAUAGAUAGAGUGUCAAUCUAAUCCUAAGUCAUUUUGAAAGAAUGAGAAUACAGUGAAUGCUUAAUCUAAGUGCAAAAGUAGUAGAGUGAUAGUAAUCAAAUAACUAAGAAAGACAAGAACAAUAACUAAAACUUUCGAUCAUUAAGAGAAAAUAGGACUCAUGGGGUUAUGUGUUUGAUUCAAGUGACUAAGAUCUAAUCCAGUGACAAGCUUUCAAUCAAAAGAUUUUCUUAAGUCUAGAUCACAUAAUUAAACAAGUUCCUUCCUAGGAUAAAUGUUCAUUUGCUAUCAUUAAUUAGCCAUCAACUCCGGUUGGUCUAACGCAAUCAAACAAUCAUCAGGAACGAGUCUAGUAACCAUCUAUGAAUCCUAACAUCAACUCUUGUUGGCCAGAAAAGCAAAGAGCCCAAUCAAUUAAGUUCAACCAUUUCAACAAACACCUCCCAAAUGUGAAAUGUCUACCGUUAAAGAUUAAAGUUGCCAACACUAAUUUAGCAGUAAAAACAGUAGAUAGGCAAGAAAAUAUAAAGAUCAAACACUAAACAUUCUAGAUCUUCCCUUAAUCACUCUAACCCAUGAAUUCAAAAAGAAUAUACUAACUAAUCACUGUGUUUAAUCUUAAACUUAUAAUAGAUUCAAGACAAAUCAUGAUAAGAUGAUGAAAUAAUCUUAGAUUUACUCAAAAAAAAAAAAAUUAAAAUACCAAAGAUUCAAUCUUUCUUCAGAGUAACAAUGUAUUUUUGAUAGAAAACAAGAUAGGAAGUAAGAUAAAACUUAGAUGAUUAGGGUUUUUGUCUUUAAACAUAUACUGUAUAUAGGCAAUUAAAAAUGACUUAUUCUUGGGUCGAUACCCUAGGGUGAACUCAUCAACCAAUAGGAUUGUGUUAUUUCAUAUUUGAUAUUUUUUAAAAAAGGAAAUAAAAUAUUGUCAAAUUAUAUUAUGUUUUUAAAAUUAAAAAAUAAAAAGAACUAAUAAAAAAAUAGUAGUAAUUACACAAAAAAAAUAUUUUUAACGUCGUUAGCAAAACAUUAAACCGAAAACCAUAAAUCCUAAACUCUAAAUCAAAAUCACUAAACACUAAAACACUCAAGGGUUUAGGGUUUAGAGUUUAAGAUUUAUCCAAGGGUUUAUGAUUUAUCCAAAGGUUUAGGAUUUAUCCAAGGGUUUAGGGAUUAGGAUUUAGGGUUUAGUGUUUUGCCGAUGAUGUGAAAAAUAUUUUUUUUUAAUUCUUUUUCUGUAACUAUUUUUUUAUAUAUUUUUUUUAUAUUUUAAAAACAGAAUAUAACUCAACAAUAUUUUGUUUCUUUUUAAAAAGAUAUGAAAUUUGAAAUAAAGAAAUUUUAUAUAUUGGUUUGUGAUCCUUUAGGUUCAGUGGGUGAACUUAAAGGUUCAGAGGGUGAACCUUGGUGAACGCAAGAAUAACUUAUUAAAAAUAGGGUUUCAAUCGCUAAACGCUAUUUUUCUGUGACUGCGUUUAUGAAACGCGCGAUUUGUAAUCGCGUUUGGCGUUUUUUGUUCUUCGCGUCUCUCGAGCUUCGUCUGCGUCUCUGCUACACGCAGCUCGUGCUCCUCCGUCGCUCCACCGCAACUGCUCGGGUCUUCUUCUCCACCGGAACCACCACCCUGAGUCGUCUCCGCCUUGAAACAGCGCUCGUCCCGGCCGUUCUAGCCGUCACAGUCCGAGAGCGUUGAAUCGAGCAUGCUCUGUUUCGACCCAUCGGUCGUUUUCCUUCGUCGAGCUGAGACCUGGGUCGAGAGCUUGGAUCGAGCAUUCGAAUCUUCAUCCAUCGGUCGCUUUGUUCCUCACGAACCAAAGCUCAAACUCAGAUCGAGGGAGAUGAAGCGAGCAAGCCACAUUUGUGCUCGAUUAGAACUCUCGGUCUGAUGCUUGGGUUGGCAGGAAGGACCGAACAGGACGGGUUGAGCAUUCCAUCUUCUUCAUCUUGAGUGCUUAAAAGCUCAUAAUCCAGCCAUGGCCAACUUCUACGUAUUUUCAGGAUUGGUCUCUGUGUUUUUGAUCCCUUUCUAUUUCGACCCCGAAACUUCUGUUUAUCCAGAAAGGUCCUUGAAAUUGCCCCAGAACUUAUGAUCGUGUUUUUCAGACCCUGUAUAUGCAAUAUGUACAAAUAAAACACCUAAUGGCCUCUAAAUGCAAUCCUUAACACUUAAAAUGACCAAAUUCAAUAGAUAAAAACAUAUAAAAAUGCUAUACAUCAAUUAUCUAAAAAGAUUUUGUAUUAUGUUAUCCAAAAAUAUUUUACAUCAUAAUAUUUUAAAAAUAAUUAUAAAUCCUUGUAUAUAUGAAUGUUUUCAAGUUUAUUUUACGGAAUAAAAUUUAUUUUCUUAAAAUUAAAAACUUUAUCAUAUAUAUAAAAUAUUUCAAAAGCAUAAAAAUAAUUUAUUCUAAUGGUUUUUGAAUUUAUAAUAGAUCUAUUUACACUUUUUCGUAAAAUAACUAAGCAUGUAAGUGCGGGCAAAAUACCUAGUAUUAGAGUAUAUUUAAUAUUCUUAGAAUAAUUGGUAAGUGGGGAAAAAAAACUGAACCCAAAAUCAACUCAAACCAAACUAUAGUAUAUAUUUUUAAAGGUAGGCAUGGACAUUUUAUCCAAUAUCUAAAACCAAAUCCAAACCCGAUAGGAAAAACUUAAAUCGAAGUCCAAGCCAAAGUAGCAUAAUACCCAAACAUGUAUUGAGUGGAUAUCUGAAUCCAAAUGGAUAAUAUCCAAACCCGAACGAUACGUGAAGUUAAUCGAACAUAUGUAUACUUAUGUUUCUAUAUUCCUAGUUUACUUUAAUUUAUUCAAAAUAUUUAUACUGACGUUGCACGUAAUUCAAUUCAAAUUAUAUACAUAUAGUUACUGAUAAAUUGAUUUGUUACUCAGUUAAAAUGAAUAUCAAACUUCUUAUUUCAUGCAUUAAAAAAAGUUACAAUUAAACUAUCGAAACAAUUUCUAGAUCAGUGUCUUUCUAUUUUUUGUUUACAAAUCUUGUAAUCUCCCAACCUAUUAAAACUAAAAAAAAUCAGUUAAGUUAAUGGUAGCCGAAACCUGAGCAGUGAAGAGUUUGAGUGGUUUUUGAAAUCUAAAAAAUCUGAACCCGGUUCAAAAUAACCAAACCAAAACUAAAAUUAUCUGAACCCAACUGAAAUAUAAAAAUACUUUAAUGGACUCUAGACCCCUAUACCAAAAUAUCUGAAAACCUGAAAUACUUAGUCUAAACCUGAACAGGUAUCCGAACGCCCAAACCUAUUUAAAUAAGUUUUUUUAAAACCGAACCGGCUAGUUAACCGGAAUUGUGUUGGGUCAUGGGUCACUGUGGUUUGACCGGAAUCGAUCGGUUUGAUUGGAUUAAAAGAUAAUAAAUUAAUUUAAUAGCUUAAAUCUAAAAUCAAUGCGAAAAUGCACAUUUAAACACCAGGUCUUUAUUACUCUAGAUCGUUGGGAUUUAAACAAAUGAAGCGUAAACCAUAAGCAAGAAAAAAUGAUCAUAUAAACUAAGUUUUGAUGUGGAAGCACCUUAGCCUAUUGGUUAAGGUUUAAAUGCUUCUACACCCAGGUCUGGGGUUCGAAUCCCAGACUAUGCAAUUUCUUGCAGAUUAUAGGAUGCGAAGCUUUCGGAGGUUCCAGAGUACUGUAAGCAGAGCCGUUCGUUGUGAUCGCCUAUUGCGGUGAGAGUCUGUCCAUCGAGGAUGUCGUACAUGCAGAACCGUCCGUGGUUUCAAAUGUUUCGGGGAGAGCUUCAUCGUGGAAUCAUUAUUCGUGGAGCUGUUCAUCAAUAUCACAUAUGUUGCAGGUAGUUGAUCAUCAUAUGUAAUAGAUUUAGAGAUUAUAUGAUGAUGUAAUGUGUUACCCAGCGUUAAAAAAAAAAAAAAACUAAGUUUUGAUUUGCUCAAUGGAUAAGAAGGAAGAAUAAGUUAAGUGUUUUGUUGUUUUAUAAGUCUAUAUAAAUUUCACAUAUGUUAAUGUCUCAAUUAUUUAAUUCUUCAACACAACUGAUCAUGAAAUAAUAUUUAAACAAAAUGAAAAGCAGACAAGACAAAGACAAUACCUUUACGUGAAUCUUGUGACUUAUGAGUUGCAGAGACGUCAAAAUAACAAGAAGAGAUGAGUUACGGCGCGAUACUUUAUCUAUAUUAUUAAAAGUGGAAUAUUUUUGAAACUAACCAUUACUUCACCGUAAUACUUAGCAACUUUUGCCACUGCAUUUAAUAAUUAUUAACUAAUUAACUAUGAACCAUUAAUUUUGUUCAAUUAAUAUCUAUUCAAAUUUACCAUUAUUCUCUAACAAAACUUACCAUUAUUUUCUAACCUAAAUAUUCUCUAAUAAAUUUUUACAAUAAAAUUAAACAUAUUUAUUUAAAAUGCGACAUAAAAACUUUAACUAUUAUAUAUUCAAGUAUAUUAUUAUUUCAUUUCACAUAAAAAUAUAAAGUAUAUAUAUUUUAUAAAAAAUAUAUAUAUUUAUUUUGUAAAUAUAUGUUAAUAAUUUGAUGAUUAAUAUUAUUCACUUAUAUGUAUUUGAAUUAUCAGAGACAUAUCUAUCUAUUUUAUUAAAAUAUAAGUGAACUUUUAUUGGAAAAUUGUUACAAAUACAACAUUCAUAUUACCACUUUUCAUGUUUACACUAAACGUUAUUAAUACCCCUAGGGUUAACUAAUAUAAACUUAAUGUUUAGAAUUGACGAGUGAGGUAGGGUUUUUGGAAUGUGAAAUUUAGGAUUCUAAUAAAUAUAUAAAUAAAUAAUUAAAAAAAUAUAAAUUUUAAAAAAUAAAUUUUGAAAAAUAAAUUCGAAAAAGAAAUUCAAAAAAUAAAUUUAUAAAAAGCUCGAAUUUGAAAAAAGUAUAAUUAGAAAACAUAAGAAAAAUAUUUUUAAUUUUUUAAUUUUCUUUAAUUUUUUAAUUUAUUAUAUAUAUAGAGAACAAGAUAUAAGAAUAGUUUGCCACUUAAUGAAAAAUUUAUUUUUGAAAGUAUCCCUUUAGUGGUGGUAAAGAUGAAUAAUAAUACCAUGAAAGUGGUAAACAUGAAAUCUCCCCCAUUUUUAUGUGCAUAAAAUAAUCAAUUUGGAAAUAAAAAUUUAUUAAUACACAGAAACAUACUAAUUGGUGUUUUAAUUUAUAAAUAAAUACAUCAAAAAUGGUUAAUGCAAUUAAAACUACUAAUUGAGGAAUAUGUUAUGUAACAUAUGAUUUUGAUUAGUCUAGUAUCCAAUCACAAUAUGAGCAACUAAAAAAUUACAGAAAAUUAAAAAACGUCGAACUAUCAUAAAUAUAUAAUACAAAUAGAAAUAAACACCCAUAUGAAUGCAUGUUUGUACAACUAUUACAUAUUUAUGCUGUGAAGAAUUUCAUAUAUUUAUUCUGUUAAAACUAAAGUACAAAUAGAACGAAAAUAUUUUUCAACAAGUUAUUACAUUUAUCAUUACAUUUUUUACUCAAUUUAGAAACUUCAUUAAUUAUAUUAUCUUAACAAUACAUCACAUCAUUAAUUAUAUUAGCAUAAUAAUAAUAGUGCAGAUUUUUAUUUAUUAGUUAACACUUAAUAUUAACUUUGAACCAAUUAUAAAAAUCAAAAUGUAAAAUAAUCGGGUUUUGCAGAUGGUUAAGAGUUUGGUUUAGUUUGUUUUACUAUUUUUAUCUUAAUUUUAAUCGGUAAAAAACUACGAACAAAACAUAUAAUUCAAAUAUAUAGUUUAUGUGAACAAAAUAAUAACUUAAAUCAAAAUAAUAAAAACGUAUUACAUAUAUUGUCACUUGAUUUUUCACACUAUAUAACUAUUUUACUAGAUAAGAAAACUCUUUCUAUUUCACUUAAUUUAACCAAACACAUAGAAAGAGUUUUUUAUUUGUUUACAAAAUCAUUUAGCAAUGAACAUUUAGGUACCCAUUCAGGUACGGGUUAUUUUUUUAGGUAUCAGAUUCUUCUGAGUUUUGAAAUUAAGCCCCGCUUGGAUAUUGUAAAUUUAUGUGUAGAUUUCGAAUUGGGUCAUCUCGGGUUUACAUGGUUCGGUUCUGAUGUAUAGGAACAUAAAAAUAUCCAAAUAACCAAAGUAUCUGAAAUGGAUUCGGAUAUUUGUACCAAAAAUAACUAAAUAACUAUAUAUGAAAAAACGUAAUACAAAACAUUAAAACCAAUAUAAUGGUUUAUGUUCUUAAAAAAGAAACUUAUUUAUAUGAUUGACUUUUUUAUGACCAGUGUUGACUUAAUUUGUAUCAUCUCUUUUUGCAGACAAUUGUGAAAAAUAGGAUCGCUUGACCCGCAAAAGGCAAAGGGAAUGAUAUUAGUGUGUCUUAGGGUAAGAAUGAAGAGGAACAAUGUAUUCCUUAAUAUUCCUAAGAAAUUUUACCAUUCCUCAUUACUCCUAUAAUUUUAUUAUUUUCUAUUUCUUUCCUAUUUGUUCACGGGAGAGUGGAAAAGGGACGAGCCGUGUCUAUAGCUGGUGGUGGGGCGCAUCUAGACCAUUUAAGUAUUGGGUGCACUAUUGCAAGUAAAAGAUAAAAAGGCUUUUGGUAAGCAUCGAACCUGAGAAAGUGAGGGUGCAUAUGUGACCUUUUACCACAUGAGCUAACCAACAAAUUUAACUGUUUUUACAUGCAAAAUUUUUAAUUUUAAUAUAACUGUGGGUGCACGUACACCCAGACCCUAUAACGUGGCUUCGCCGUGUAGGGAUGGUUCUAGAGAAUACUAAUGUCACCGGGAAUGAUCUAAGCGCUGAUCCGCAUGUCCUCCCUGCCACACAGAUCAGUUUCAAGGACAGCAUUGCCCUGUCAAGAUAUAUCAGCCAAACCAAGUAAGAGGAUUAUAUUAUUCAGUCACUUAACUCAAACGUGACUUGUCUAAAGGUAAUAAAAGAAACAAUCAUUGUCUAUGGAUGUAGGAAGCCGAUUGCGCAUAUAAAUCCUUCAAGGACAGUUUUGGGAACAAAACCAGCGCCUGUAAUGGCUGCCUUCUUGUCUAAGGGUCCUAGCUCGGUGGCUCCCGAGAUCCUGAAGCCGGAUAUUACUGCGCCUGGUGUGAGUGUGGUCGCUGCCUACACUGGAGCAGUAUCUCCAACAACGAAAAGUUCGAUGCUCGGCGUCUUCUGUUCAAUGCUGUUUCAGGAACCUCCAUGUCUUGUCCUCAUGUCUCUGUCAUUGCCGGUCUUCUCAAAAACCGUUAUCUUUUUUGGAGCCCUGCAGUCAUCCGCAUUGCCGGUCUUCUCAAAACCCGUUAUCCUUCUUGGAGCCCUGCAGUCAUCUGCUCUGCCAUCAUGACUACCGGUAAGAAUCCUAUGUAAACAUAUGGUCUCAUCAAAAUUAUAAAUUAAUAAUUUAUAUGUAUGUACAUUUUAUACAAGCUAUUCUAUUUUUAAUUUUAUUUAUAUUGGAAUUAUCUUUAUGUUGUCAUAAGAUUUAAUAUAUUUUGAUGAGAUUUAGUAAAAUUAUAUAGAAAAUUAUAUUUAAAUUUUAUAAAACAUAUUUUAUAUACAUCAAAUACUAUAAUCAAACCAAUAUGAUUGUCAAAUUCCAAUAAAUAUUAUGGGAAAAGUGCCAAAAAAUUACUCAAAGCUUGAUUUUGAAUAUAAAGGUGUACCUCAAAUUCAAUCAAAGCAAAAAUAACCCAAAAGACUAGUGAAAUUACAACAUCUUUAUGACCAAACAAAAAACAUGUAUUGGGUUUUACUAUUAUAACCCUCCACGUGAGAAGACUUACAAAGAAGACUUUGGAAGACUUCUCAAAAGACUCUUGUAAGGUUCUCAGAAGACUCUCGGAAUUCUAAUGCAUUUUAUUCUAGGAGACUUUGGAAGACUUCUCAGAAGACUUUGGAAGACUUCCCGGAAGACUCUCAGAAGACUCUCGGAAGACUUCUUGGGAAGUCUUCUAAUGUAUUUUAUGCUGGGAAGUCUUCAAGAAGUCUUCUUCCAAAGUGGUACAAAGGGAUGAUGUCAAGUGGAGUCCAAGCUUAUCUACGUUGAGGAAUGAUAUCUAGCUCCAUGUGUAAUAGUUUUGUUUAUGGUCUGUUUUAUGAUUUGUAUGUGUACUUUAGCUGUGAAUUCUUUUGUAAACUUGGAGAGAUGUGAAUCAAAAGAAUUUGAUUAAUAUGUUUAUGUUUUUCCAAAAGUACUUGACAUUAUUGAAGUUAUUGAUACAACAUACUAAGAAAAUAUUUUAACCAUUCUACCCACUUAACAAAACACAACAACACAAAAACUUCGUGAAAUUUACUAAAACUAAGAGAGAAGACUUCUCAGAAAAACUUAGUCACAUUCACAACAGAUCAAAAUUGAAUGUUAAGUGAAAAGUGAAAUUUUAAAGGGGAAGUUUCAUGUUUACCACUUUCAUGGUACCAUUAUUCAUCUUUACCACCACUAAAAAGACAUUUUCAAAAAUAUCUUCUUUCAUGGUACCAUAAUAAAUAAUUAUUUAAAUAAAUAAAAAAUAAUAAUUUUUUUUAUUUUUUUGAAUUAUGUUUUUUCAAAUUCGAACUCUUUAUAAUUUAUAUAUUUUUGAAUUAUGCUUUUUCAAAUUCGAACUCUUUAUAAUUUUUUUUGAAUUUUUUUUAUUCAAUUUUUUUUCAAAAUUUCUUUUUGAAAAUCGAAAUUAUAUUUGAAACUGUUUUUAAAAUUUUUUUAAGUAUGUAUUUAUAUAUUUAUUAGAAUCCUAAAUUUACAUUCCGAAAACUCUAUCCCACCCCUGAACUCUAAACCCUAAGUCUAUAUUAGUUAAUCCUAUGGAUAUAAAUAUCUUUUACUCUUUAUUAAAAGUGAGGGUAAAAGUAGUUAGAGUAAACAUUAAAAGUGGUACUAUGAAUGUGGUAUUUGUGGCAAUUUCCCAAUUUUAAAUCAGAUGAAAGUUAAAAAUUAUAUCUUAUGAUCUAAAAAGACACAUUAAACGACAUGACUUGAUAUUCUUAAAGUUACUUAACAGUUUUAAAAGUUAAAAAACAUACCUUGAAUUACUUAACACUUUUGAAAAUCUAACGUAGAAGAUUUCUCCAGAAGUCUUCUCUUAAAAGACUCCUUAAGAAGUUUUCUCGGAUUAGCUAAAAACAUUAGUAAACAUGAAUAUUUGAAAUCUCAUAAUUAUUACCAAAUAAGUUAUUAAUUUCAUCCAGGAGCACCAAUAUUGACUAUACAUGAGUUAAUAAGAAAAUAUUUUAAUUUUCAGAGAAAAUGAAAGUUUAAUUAUUAAACAUUGACGUAGAACACUUCUACGGAAGUCUUCCAUUUAGGUCAUUUUUGCAAUUGCAAGUUUACAAAGGAAGACUUCUACAAAUGUAUACUCUACAACAGAUAUCUUGGGAAGUCUUCCUUUGUAAAUGUUGCCUUACUUUUGAAUUUGAAAAAUUCUCGAAAAUACUAGAGAAGUCUUCUCUCGUAAACUGGUUAGUUUUGCAAUUGACAAAAGUUCUGCAGAUAUUUAACUUUUUUCUUAGAAGUCUUCUCACGUUCACAUGAAGUCUUCUCACUGUAGUAAGAACUCUGCCUAAGUUUCUUUUGCAAUUGACUUUAUCUGACUUUUUCAGAGAAGAUUUCUUUAGAAGUUCCGUCAGAAGAAUUUAUCUGGCUUUUUCAGAGAAGUCUUCUCUCGUACCCAAAGGUUCGACCAAAAAUUAGGGGUGUCAAAAUGAGUUAUAUAGCUCAUAAGCUGGCUCAGCUCGACUCGAUUUUUCAUGAGCACGAGUUCUAUUUUUCACUCAUUUCAUAAAUGAGUUUAAUGAGCGAGUGUAAAUUAGAUCACGAGUUAUAUAAAUGAUCUUUAAUGAACGUGAGCCAACUCAUGUGCUUGGUCAUUUUUAUACUUCAAUAUAUAUAUAUAUAAUAGAUAACUUCUAUUUUUCUUAGGUUAAAAAGAUAAUUUUAUAUUAAUCAUAUUUAUCUUCUAGAAUUAAAAUGUAAAACAAAUCUUUUUAGAUAUAAUAGAAAAUGGAAAUAUUUGCAUCAUUCAUCAUCUCAUGUAUAUCUAUCUUUAAAUUAAAAUGUAAAACAAACUAUUCCUAAGAUAUAAUUUAUAUAUUACCCAUAGUUAUCUUAUAUUAAUGUUUUUAUUUAGUAUUUAAUAUUAAUGUUUUGGAUUUUUGAAUAUUUAAAUUUUUUUAAAAAAUAUCAUAGAAUUUAAUUUAAAAUUUUAUUUUAUGAAUAUUUGUAUUAUUAUUUUUAUAUUAGAUCAUGAGUUAGCUCGUUUAACUCAUGAUCUAUAUGAUCUGAGUUUGAGUUUAAAAGCCAUAUAACAAAUGAGCCGAGCCGAGCCGAGCUAGCUCAUGAAAGAUCCGAGCUCACUAUGAGCUGAGCUGAGUUGAGCGAGCUAGCUCAUUUUGACACUCAUACCAAAAACCUGGAAUACAAUUCGAGAAGACUUCUUAAGAAAUCUGCUUCUCAUUAAUAUUAAAGUUUUUACAAUUAAUUGUCAAUUGCAAAUCUAACCUACACAGACUUCUUGUGAAAGUGAGAAGACUUCAUCUAAUAGUAAAGAAGACUUCCUGAGAAAUCUUCUCCAAGACUUCCUGAGAAGUUUUCUCGGUAAACAAGUUAGUUUUACAAUUGAACGAAGGUUGUCAAAAUUUUGAUUUUUUAUAGAAGACUUCUCGAUAAGUUUUCUCAAGAAGUCUUCUCGUUUUUUUUUGUUGACAAAGAAAAUUUAGAAGAAUUCUAGAAAAUUUAGAAGACUUCUCUAAAAACACACAAAAAUUCAAUUGCAAAACUAACAUAUGAAUUUACCAAAAGUGUUCUCUUUGGAGAAGACUUUCGAAGAAGACUUCUUCACGAAACAGAUCCGAAAAAAUUCAAAUAUCAUUUUUAGAUCUGGUGAAAUUCAUGUUUAGCUUUUACAAGCACACAUAACUUCUUAAUGGAAGUUAUUCACCCAUUCUUGACAACGAAUCAUGAACUUGAGUAAAUCUAAUAAGCUUAUAGUUUUUGAAAUGAAAAAGUUGGAAUUUUUGGAUGAAAUAAGAUAUAAUUAAAGAAAGAAAAAUGGUUUAUGUGUGUAAAAAUGAGGAUACGAAGAUGUAUAUGUUGAUUUUAGGUGCAUUUAGAGUUUGAAAUUAGUUGUUCAUGGUGGUUGGUGUUUUGAUGACAAUGACAAUGAUGUAAAUGAAUAAGGAAUAUGAGGAUGAAUGAGUAUAACACUAAUUUUCGCAGAAAAAAAUAAUAAUGGUAUUUCCGUGAAUAACUCAAACUUUUAUGGUGAAUAUGGCAAAUGAAAGUUUUAAAAAAGCAUGGAUCAUUUUGUGUUUGACUUCAAAUUUGAGUCAUAUUUCAAAAAAAAAAACCAAAAAUAAUUGAUGUAUAUACACCAAAUUCAAAUAUUUUCGUAUUUUAGAAAAAAAAAAUCUUAAAAUACAAAAAUCUAUAAAAGGAAACUUUUGUAAAUUAAUAACUCUAUAAACUAAUAAAAUAUUAUAGUCCCAACAUUAUUAAUUUAGAGAGUUUUUACUGUAUUAGAUAUAUUUUAAAAAUUAUCUUUAUACAAAUUUUUUUAUUUGAAUAACAUUUAAUUAUAAAAUGUUUUAUAUCUUAAUUAUAAAAUUUUAUAAUAGAAAAUUUGAUUUUAUAAGAAAAAACUCAAUUAUAUAUAAAAACACAAUAUAUAUAAGAAUUAUCUUUUUUAUAAAAAAUAUAAGUUUUUAUUUUGAUAAUUUUAUUAUAUUAUUUUAUAAUCAAUUAGCUAAUAUAAUAUAUAAAUCUAAUAUUAUUGGUAAAAAUUUCAUUCUUAAUUAUAUCAUAAAUUAUAAAAAAAAAAUCUUUAAAGGUAUAUAUCAUCAAAUGUGAUUUCCUAGUGUACUCCAAACCAUCUCAAUGGAAACAACCUUUUUGAUCUCCAUAGCUUCCACAAUUCAUAACCUGCACCUUUAAUUUGUAUCUAUUGUUUCCUGGUUUAAUAUCAUCAAUAAAGAUUAAAGUAGCUGGCUUCAUUCGAAGAUAAGACAUAUUUUGCACUGAAUAAGAAGAAUUUUAUUUAGAUAUUAGAAAGUUUAUAGCUUUUGAAGUUUUUGAGGAUAAUAACGAAUAAAGAUAAAAAAACAUACGCCUAAACCGACCAAAAUUAUCUUAUACUUUGAUGACUUAAAAAGAAAGCAUAACCUUAAAUUGCAUAUAAGAUCUUUUAACAACUUAAAUUAUGUAUAAUGAAUAGUAUAAAUUAAUAAUAUUAUUGACUUUAACCGUUUUAACUUUUAAGGUGAGCGAAAAUUCAUUUUAUAAAUAAUAGUAAAGAUAUAUUAUAAAUACAACUUGUUUGAAGGAUAACUACAGUGUCUCCUUUUGACAUAAAAAAUAAACAUGGUCUGCAGUUAACUUAUCCAUCAAGAAUCUCCUCCAAGAUGAGACAAUGCAGCGCGAUUUAAUACUUGGCACUUUUUUCAGAUGAGCCAUUGCUUCUCAAGAGAAAGAAUAUAUCACCAUGGCCUUCAUUACAUAUAAAUGAUUUUUUUACACACUUUGGAGUUGCAAAACUGUUGUAAAGUUUAUUAUAUGAACUUGAAAAAGGUUAAAAUUUUGUUGUGACAUGGUUUGCAGAUGAACUGUGACUUUUGGGGAAUUCGCCAAGAUUGCUCUCGGAUAAGACAAGUUUGCGAGCAGCUUUCUUGCUAAAAACGUACACUGUUUUAAAGCACACAUCAGUUCCUGCAAAACCCUUUUUGACCAUUAAUUGUUACUGGCAAACAUAGUUGACUCAUUAAUAGCAUUGUGGCAUAGAGCAAAAGUCUGGACCAUUAGAAAACAAUAAUGUUUUUUACUUAACGUAAGGAUCUCCAACCCAAAUCCAGAAUAUUAUUUUAGUGUGAUUUUCACACUAUUUUAGUGUAAUAUCUUCAACCCAACACUAAAAGUUACGCAAAUUUAGUGUGACACUAUAUUUUUACACCAAAUUUGGUGUGAAAUUAUAGUGUUGCACUAAAAUGGUGUAAUUUUUAGAGUUGGGUUGGAGAGAUUUAUUGUAAAAAUCACACUAAAAUAGUGUUUUGGAGUUGGGUCCGAGAUGAAAAAGUUUUUAGUGUUGAAAUCACAUUAAGACAGUGGAAUCUUGACACUAUAAUAAUUUUAUAGGUUAGAUAUGCUCUAAUGCGAACUUGUAAACCAUGUUUGCUGUUCUCCCAUCUUUUGUUUCACGUAAAACAAAUACACACAAAUAAAAAAAAUGGAUUAAUCUUUUCAAAAAUAAUUAGUGGGUACAAAGUUGAAAUAAUCUAAGAUAUAUGGACUAUUUAACAAAAUUCAGCAAACUAUGUGGAAACGUAUAAUACAAAAGGUCUAGCUGGUAAUAACCAUCACAAGAACAUAAAGAAUCAAUUGAAAAAGAAUGAGUAGAAAUAAAAAUGUAGGAAUGAUAAUUCCUUAUCAAAAUUAAUGAGGAAAAAAUUGUUUUAUAAUUCUCUAUAAUAAAAGAAAUGAGUAGAAAUAAAAAAGAAAAAAACUAUUUUUCAUAAAUGGUAAAAUAUUUUGAAAAAAUGUUAAAGAAAGUAAUGUUUUUCUUGUUCCUUUGGUCAUCAUUUAAAGUCAAAGUCUUGACUCUGAACUGACCUGUCUUUCUUCCAAGACAGGAAUGAUAUCUUUCAUCAAGACCCAUCAAAUACAUAGUUCAGAUAUCAACGAGCAACUUGGCCCAAAUAACUUCUGGUUUUGAUAAUCAUCGAAGGAACAAUGGGGCUACAGCAAUCGAAAGGCAAAUUGGUGUCUCAGCAAGUGCGCGACGGUAAUUCUGAAGGCAUUCUAGCUCUUAUUCGUGAAGGAGCAGACCUCGAGGUUCAAUAUCGUUAUUUGAUUGACUGGUUGUUUGAAUUUCUCGUAAAUUAGGAUUUUGGGUAAUUUUGUGUUAUUUUGGAUUGUAGUGGAUAGAUAGAAAAAGCACGCCUUUGAUCAUGGCAUGCAGGAAGUACGAGCUUUGUGAUGUAGCCAAGACUUUGAUCGAGUUAGGCGCCAAUGUUAAUGCUUAUCGUUCAGGUACUGAAAGAGUUACUUAGCAUCAGAAAGAACGUUGAGUUAUAAGCUAAUGUGGUCUCUCUUGUUGGUUAUCAGGUCGCCAAGCAGGGACUCCUCUGCACCAUGCUGCUAAAAAUGGUAAUGUGUGCCCACUGUUGAGUUGCUUCUUUCACAUGGUGGUAAGUGUUUGCUCUCAUCUCUUACAUACAGCUUGUUGACUAUGAGUUUGAUAUCCUAUAUUUAUCUGAUGCUUUUGGCAGCAAAUCCACUUGUUCUCAAUGAUGAUUGUCAGACACCACUUGAGGUCGCUAGAGACAAAGGGUUUGGUUAUGUCGUGGGUGCUAUUGAGGUAUGUUCGUUUGUUGUUGCUGACUUGUAAGUGAUGGAUAUGAUUGUUUUGUGGAUUGUUAACUAUUUUGGGUUUGUAGAGACACAUCUGCUUGUUCUCUGGUUAUAUGUAUCAGUUUUGCGGCCCUGCCGAUCUUGAUUUAUAUUCCUGUCAUUCUCCGCUUCGUGUAGACAAAGGGUGAGCAUCCGUUAUACGUCGCUUUUAGCAUCUGUCUUCGCUCAUACGUGCAGUUAACUCUGAAAAUCCGUUUCUUUUGCACAUGGCUAUGAAACAUCUCUAAAGCUUAAUGAUUUGCAGAUGGGUGGUCGUCGUACCAACUGGUUCAAGAAACCCUGCAGAGCCUUUGAAGUUGGAGGUGGCUGUAUAUGAUCAUAGGCUGGUAAUGAUCAUUAAUAUUAACAAUUGAGAGAACAAGUUCAGGACGUUUUACUUUUUAUGUGUUUUGAGUGGUAAACAGGAUGACCAGCCACGGACAGUGAUGCCGUUGUGGAAAGCAAACUUGGAGGAACCAAUAACGAACGAGGCUGAUAUUUCAGUGAUGAUCACUGUUGACGACUCCACAAGUAAUUUCUUGCUUUACUUUUUUAUAUGUUGUUGACAUGCAACCUCUUGCUUUGUGGAUAAUGAUGAUUGAACUAUAUUCUGGUGGAUAGUCCCUGUUUGCGUUGGCCUCAUGUAUUUACGAGUAAGUCUACCCACUGUUUAGUUGCUAGCAACCCUCCUUUGUUCAUAUCAGAAACUUUUUACCAUCGUGACCUAGAUCACUCUAUUUUAUCUGCUUUUGCGUUAAAAUAUUUGUUAAGCUUUUCUUCUCUUUUACUACAGAAACACAUCUUAGACUUGCCCCCUCCACUAAAGGGGACAAACAACAGCUUAAGUGGUUUUGUGAUGCAUGUAAAGGAAUUCCACAGGUAAUUGUCAAAAAAUUAUUAGCUAAAUUAAUGUUUCCUUUCAUCCUUCUUUGUAUUAUAUAAUGAAACUCUAAUGUAGUUAAAUAUACAGCCAAUACCGCCUGCACCACCACUUAUGAGUGAGACACCAAAUACCAAUCACCACUCCAUUGGUGAAGCAAGGUCCUCAACUGCACCACCUCCACCUCCUUCCUCAGGGAAAGCAAGCACCUCGGGUCUCAAUAGCCAUGAAAGUGUUAUUGUACAUGAACCUUCACCAUCAGCUCCUCCAUUGACAGAUGAUGAUGAUGUACAAACCU
rnacentral:lncRNA from 1 species